rnacentral:pre_miRNA from 1 species
CAUAUACUCCCUCCAUCCGAAAAUAAAUAGAUGUAUCUAGACGUAUUUUAGUUCUAGAUACAUCCAUUUUUGUCCAUUUCUGUGACAAGUAAUCCGGAUGGAGGGAGUAUGAU